UAUACCCCCACACACCUAGAGACUGUUAUCAGUAUCCUAGGAUACCCCACACACCUAGAGACUGUUAUCAGCAUCAUAGUAUACCCCACACACCUAGAGACUGUUAUCAGUAUCCUAGUAUACCCCACACACCUAGAGACUGUUAUCAGCAUCAUAGUAUACCCCACACACCGAGAGACUGUUAUCAGUAUCCUAGUUUACCCCACACACCUAGAGACUGUUAUCAGUAUCCUAGUUUACCCCACACACCUAGAGACUGUUAUCAGUAUCCUAGUUUACCCCACACACCUAGAGACUGUUAUCAGCAUCAUAGUAUACCCCCACACACCUAGAGACUGUUAUCAGUAUCCUAGGAUACCCCACACACCUAGAGACUGUUAUCAGCAUCAUAGUAUACCCCACACACCUAGAGACUGUUAUCAGUAUCCUAGUAUACCCCACACACCUAGAGACUGUUAUCAGUAUCCUAGUUUACCCCACACACCUAGAGACUGUUAUCAGUAUCCUAGUUUACCCCACACACCUAGAGACUGUUAUCAGUAUCCUAGUAUACCCCACACACCUAGAGACUGUUAUCAGUAUCCUAGUAUACCCCACACACCUAGAGACUGUUAUCAGUAUCCUAGGAUACCCCACACACCUAGAGACUGUUAUCAGCAUCAUAGUAUACCCCACACACCUAGAGACUGUUAUCAGCAUCAUAGUAUACCCCACACACCUAGAGACUGUUAUCAGUAUCCUAGGAGACCCCACACACCUAGAGACUGUUAUCAGCAUCAUAGUAUACCCCACACACAUAGAGACUGUUAUCAGCAUCAUAGUAUACCCCACACACCUAGAGACUGUUAUCAGUAUCCUAGGAUACCCCACACACCUAGAGACUGUUAUCAGCAUCAUAGUAUACCCCACACACCUAGAGACUGUUAUCAGCAUCAUAGUAUACCCCACACACCUAGAGACUGUUAUCAGCAUCAUAGUAUAACCCACACACCUAGAGACUGUUAUCAGCAUCAUAGUAUACCCCACACACCUAGAGACUGUUAUCAGCAUCAUAGUAUAACCCACACACCUAGAGACUGUUAUCAGUAUCCUAGGAUACCCCACACACCUAGAGACUGUUAUCAGUAUCCUAGUUUACCCCACACACCUAGAGACUGUUAUCAGUAUCCUAGUUUACCCCACACACCUAGAGACUGUUAUCAGUAUCCUAGUUUACCCCACACACCUAGAGACUGUUAU
rnacentral:lncRNA from 1 species